UAGGGAAUAUUGGACAAUGGUGGCAACACUGAUCCAGCCAUGCCGCGUGCAGGAUGACGGCCCUAUGGGUUGUAAACUGCUUUUGUACGGGAAAAAACCCUUGUUCGUGAACAAGGCUGAUGGUACCGUAAGAAUAAGGAUCGGCUAACUCCGUG
rnacentral:rRNA from 1 species